UGGGGAAUUUUGGACAAUGGGCGAAAGCCUGAUCCAGCAAUGCCGCGUGUGUGAAGAAGGCCUUCGGGUUGUAAAGCACUUUUGUCCGGAAAGAAAUCCUUGGCUCUAAUACAGUCGGGGGAUGACGGUACCGGAAGAAUAAGCACCGGCUAACUACGUGCCAGCAGCCGCGGUAAUACGUAGGGUGCAAGCGUUAAUCGGAAUUACUGGGCGUAAAGCGUGCGCAGGCGGUUUGCUAAGACCGAUGUGAAAUCCCCGGGCUCAACCUGGGAACUGCAUUGGCGACUGGCAGGCUAGAGUAUGGCAGAGGGGGGUAGAAUUCCACGUGUAGCAGUGAAAUGCGUAGAGAUGUGGAGGAAUACCGAUGGCGAAGGCAGCCCCCUGGGCCAAUACUGACGCUCAUGCACGAAAGCGUGGGGAGCAAACAGGAUUAGAUACCCUGGUAGUCCACGCCCUAAACGAUGUCAACUAGUUGUUGGGGAUUCAUUUCCUUAGUAACGUAGCUAACGCGUGAAGUUGACCGCCUGGGGAGUACGGUCGCAAGAUUAAAACUUAAAGGAAUUGACGGGGUCAUAGCUGUUUCCU
rnacentral:rRNA from 1 species